GAAUUCUGAGGGGGGAAGAGGGCGAGUGGGAGACUGUCGCUGGCCCUCGGGCAUGUGCACGUCUCGCUCGCCGUCGACCUUUCUCUCAUACACACACCUGUGCACCUUUUGUAGGCCCUCGAAAGAGGAUCUAUGUUUUUCACAUCACACCCAUCGUAUGUCUAUAGAAUGUAUUCAGAACGUCGACCUGUCUCGGCAGGCCGGUGGUCGAUAAAUCAUACAACUUUCAGCAACGGAUCUCUUGGCUCUCGCAUCGAUGAAGAACGCAGCGAAUUGCGAUAAGUAAUGUGAAUUGCAGAUUUUCAGUGAAUCAUCGAAUCUUUGAACGCACCUUGCGCUCCUUGGUAUUCCGAGGAGCAUGCCUGUUUGAGUGUCAUCGAAUCAUCAACCAUGUCUUGAUCGAUUUCAAGGCAUGGCUUGGAGUUGGGGGUUUGCUGGCAGCGAAAUGCUAUCAGCUCUCCUGAAAUGCAUUAGCAAAGGGCGGCAAGUCUGUCGUGCACGGCCUUCGACGUGAUAAUGAUCGUCGUGGCUGGAGCUUCGGACAUGCAUGAAUCGACCUUGCUUACGAACAAUUUACCCUAGCCUUCGAGCUGCUCAGCUACUAGCUGGUCGUGAGGCCGGCGAAUGUCGGGCGGCUUGGGGACYUUKGGCUAUUUCGAAACUUGACCUCAAAUCAGGUAGGACUACCCGCUGAACUUAAGCAUAUCAAUAAGCGGAGGAAAAGAAACUAACAAGGAUUCCCCUAGUAACUGCGAGUGAAGAGGGAAGAGCUCAAAUUUUGAAUCUGGCGGC
rnacentral:rRNA from 1 species